GGCCUCUGCUCAUCCUCUGCGCUCACGCUGCUGGAGGCAGCACUUCCUGCCUGUGCUGCCGGGCUGGGGUUUGCACGUGGCCGCCACAGUUGAAACCUCGAGUUGCAAUUCUCUGCUGAUCCCGAGUAAACCCGUCCUUGCUGGGGAAUAGCUGGCGGUCUUUUCACUUUAGGUCAACAUUUUGGCGACCCAUCCGGGAACCAGAGGGGACCCCUGACAGCUCCCGGGCUGCUGAGCAGACAGGUGCGGUGCCCACCUUGAGCUCGUGGUCACUGCUUUUCUCACCGACCCUGGAUUUGAAGGUACGUCUUUCUCCUGAGUCCAGCUUCUUUGCGUUUGGAAGCUGUCCAGGUUCUAUUCAGGGUGGAUGUUAAAGUCUGGUCCUUUCUGGUCCAGGCCUUGUUCUGUGUGCACGUACUCAUUCGGCACUUCCUGUUCCAACUGGCAUAGGCUUGCCUUUUGGGUGGAUCCGUGGAACGCGGUCUGUUCUAGGGAGCCAGGCUGAGGAGCCUUUGCCCAGGCUCCUCUGGGACCAGACUGUCCGCUUAGAACUGGCUGGUGUUAGGCCUGUGGGCUGUUUGAGCUGUUUUGGCUGUUUGAAAAUUAGUCUUGGGAGUUCCCUGGUGGUCUAGUGGUUAGGAUUUGGCGCUCUCACUGCCGAGAGCCCGGGUUCAACCCCUGGUCGGGGAACUGAGAUCCCGCGAGCCACACGGCCAAAAAAAGAAAAGUCGCUUACUCCUGCCAAACAAACAAAAAAUCACCUCUGAGAAACGGGAUCCCAGUUAUUCAAAUAUUUUGAGGGUGCUCCUCUGCGCUACUAACAGCCUCCUGAUAUCUGUCUGAUGUUAUGUUUUAAAAUCGUGGUCCUUCCUCGUUCACUUUUCUAACUAAACGGACUCACCUGACCAAAGGCAGUUUAGAAUCUCAGCAGUCGUUAUGCGGAACUUCUGAAAUCCGCGAACUUUCUUUUCUUAAAACUGAAUUGGACAACCACAGUUUUCAAAUUUCCAGGACUGACUGGAACACCUACUUCUGUUGGUAUUUUGAGGCUUCCACAUGUUGUUAGGAGCCUAAAGUUGCCUCUCUGCAAAAUAAGAUGUUAAGAUUAACUGAGGCCAACAGACGAUUAAAGCUAAAGUGGUUCCUGAAGCGCAGGCUCUUCCUCGGCGUCUUUGCCUCAGGCGCGGCCCCCCAGCACUGUCUUCCUUCUGCCCUUCUCUGCCGCCUGCCCCUCCUCUACACCCGCAGCUCCCCCCAGACUAAUUCUCUUGCCCAACUUCCCUUUUUCUCUGAAAUUCUUUCCACUCCCUUUUCCUCUAAACUGGUCAGAACCUGUCCCUUUAAAAUUCAGCCUUUUGAGAAUUCAGAGGCUAAACCCUUAAUUUCUUUUUUUUUCUCGCAAUAAAGCAGGAUUUUUAAUACUCAUUUUACUGGUGAAGAAACUUAGACACAGAGAAUAUUAAAGGUUUUUUUGCCCAUCCUCAAAUAACGGGAACUCUUCGGAGUUACUGCAGGAGUGUGAAUGCGUGUACACUAAACUGUAAUGAAUUACAGAAAGAGUUACCGUGUCUGGGCAUUCCCAACAAACGUUAUAGGUUGAAUUUUUAUUGAAUGCAGGUGGUGUUUCUGUAGCUGUCUCCUAUCUUGAGAGAUACUCAAUGGGAGUCACUGCCUGGUGCAACAAGUGUUUAUGUCUUUGAAACCCUUAAUUUCUUAUACUCCCUGGACUAAAGCUGAACUGUGAGCCACAGUCAAAGAUAUUCCUAAAGUAACCAAGGAUCCUCACACAUUUGCUGAGGGAUUUCACACAGUCAUUCAAACCUAGCAACCUGGAUUCUCCAGCUUAUCUCAACUAGUUCAUAUGCUUGUCAGGGAAGCCAGGCCCAGCAUUCAGUUUGCCGCUAAUCGGCAGAGUCCUGAAAGAUCUCUAGAAUUACAACUGGGAGACCUGGCCAUUUACUUAUAUGAUCAGACUCAGACAAUCACUCAGUGACUUUAUCAGGCCAUUCCUAGGACUUUUCCAAAGACUGUUGACUGGAACAAAAUUCAGGCUUGCACACAAAAAUCUGAUGAAUCUGUUCAUGACUAUUACAAUCAACUUCAGAUUAUUUUAAAGGAAAAUUCUGGUCUUCUUUAGAUGUUGAUUCCACCUGGGUAGCUUUUAACUCUGUUUCUUAAUGGGCUGAAACAGGACCUUUCCCUUCUAGUAAAAAGCACCAGGAUGGAGUGGGAAACCCUCCACUGCAGAUUUAGUAAAUCUGGCCAACCAGCUCUCUCAUGCUGGAUGCGUCUCCUCAAAGAAAGGCCGCCAGAAGUCUUAAUCUUCAACUGAAGCAAACAAAGGCCCCUAAACAAAACCAAAACCCUCCUAGUUUCUGCUCUUAUUGCAAAGAGGCAGGACAUUGGGAAAGAGACUGUUACAAAUGUAAGUGCUUCAGGCGCCUUCAGCCUUCUAAGGUGCCUUUCCAACAUCCUCCUGAUUCUGAAUGACCCAAGGAACUACAGGGGCUCUUCCCAAUCUUCCCUCUUAAUUGGCUUGGAGAAACAGUUCUCCAGAUUGGGGUUGAAUCUCUUCCAGUCCUAACUGACACUGGAGCCAGAGUGCUCAACCCCACUACUACAAAACAGCCCCUGCCUCAGAGUGCUGAAACCGUUCCAAUAGCGGGGAUCUGUGAUGCACCUCAAAAGGUUCCUGUCUCUGAACCUGUUCCCUUUUGUUUAGGCCCUUUGAGAGAUAGACACGCCUUCUGCUUAGUUCCUCUGCCCCUACCCACUUAUGAGACAGAUUCCUUAGAGAAGUAUCAUGGCAGAAUUUCUUUCUCCAAAAGGGGGAAAUAACUCUAGAACUUGACGGCAGUCAUCCAAGCAGCCAACCAGGUGAAUUAAAUGACCCUUUGGCAUCUUUUAUUUGCUCCAUCUCUGUUGGUGCUAGAGCUGAUUCUGGAAACACUGAUCGUUUGUCCCCUUUGAAUCAGCUACCACCCUCCUUGUGGGCAAAAUCUCAAACUGAUAUUGGCAAAAUUCACAGCGCACCUCCCAUCAAGAUUCAAAUAGAUUCCUCAGAACUUCUUCCUGGAAUUACUCAAUACUUGUAAGUAAAGAAGCCCUUCAAGUCAUACAGCCCAUAAUGGAAGACUGCAAGGCUCAGUGUCCCCUCUAUUAGUCCCUGUAACUUUCCCAUUUUACUGGUGAGAAAACCUAAGGGCCGAGGGUGGAGGCUAGUCGAGGCCCUCAGAACAAUAAACAACGUUGUUAUCCUUCGACACCCUGUGGUCCCUAACCCUCACACUUACUAACGUCCAUUCCCACCGGGAGGCAUUCUUCACUGUAACUGGCUUAUGCAGUGCCUUCUUCAGUAUCCCAGCUGAGGAAGCUAGCCAACACUUUUUUGCCUUCACUUGGGAAGAAAAACAACUCACCUGGACAGUAAUCCCUCAGGAUCUUACUGAGAGCCCUUCUUACUUUUUGCAAAUCCUAAAGGUUGAUCUGAAUGAUACAGAGUUCCCCAGAGGUUCUGCUUUGUUGCAGCACGUGGAACGAUUUGCUGCUUCACUUUCCUCAAGCCUCCUCACAGGAAGACUGCAUCCACUUGCUAAAGCUUUUAGCCUUAAAGGGACAUAACGUCGACAAGGAAAACUGCAGUUUCAAAACCAGAUUCCAUAUUUGGGGCAUCUGAUAUCAGAACAAGGGCUAAACCAAGGUCCAGAUAGACUUCAUCAUGUCCUAAGUUUCCCAAAACUAAGUGCCAACUGUGAGGUUUUCUUGGGCUAGUUGGUUAUUGCUCUAAUUGGAUCCCAAAUUUCUCUUUUAUGGCCAAACUUCUGUAUGUUUUACUAAAGAAUAACAAGCCUGACCUAAUUUUAUGGGAAGAAUAGGACUACAUAGGCUCUAAGGCCUUAAAGAGAGUUUGAUGAACCCACCUGCCCUUGGGCAUCACAUUGUAUAUGAAAAGGAAGGGAAUGCCCUUGGGGUGUUUAUCCCAAAACACAGAGGCCACCAUUGACCCAUAGGGCAUUAGAGCCAGCAACUUCCCUGUGGGGGGGGGAUACCCUCUGUUGCCUGAGGGGCAUUACUGCCACUACCCUUUUGAUUCUAGAGCUCUCAAAGAAAAGGAAUAGAAUUUAGUGACAGGUUGGAUCGCAGGCAUGAGAGAGAGAGGAGUCUGGUUCUUAGGCUCCAGAAGUGUUAGCCUGCGUGGACGGGAGUGCCACUGAGCAGGGCGAGUACAGAAGAUGAGAAGCAGAUUGAGCGGGAGCCGUGGGAUGAGAGGGGGCGUCUGUGCAGGGAGGGCUGCCUUGAGGUGGGACUUCCACGGGGGGGUGUGGCCAGCGGACAGAGGCAGCAAUCUGUCCUAAGAUGUAGAUGUGGGCGCUGUCACGGAAACAGCCCAGACCACCAUGCUGUCUGGUCCUCCGUGUCUUAGGCACGCAGCUCCCUCCAUCCUGAGCACCUUCCCACCUUCUCUGCCCUGAUGCCACCUCCAUCCUAACCACUCUUCCCCUCCCAUCCCAGGCAGGGCCCUGUGCUUACAUUUACCUAUGUUCUGACUACUUGGUACUGAUGCUGAGUGGUUUUCAGUCUGUGUCCCCCACUGGGACAGGGUUCCUAGUACAUGGCAGGCAGACAGGCAUGUGGUUAUUGAACUGGAGUAAAACUUUAGCGUUGGUCCAUCCUCUUAACUAUUUGGGAUUGUUUUCCCCACCGACCCCAGUUUUUAAGCCACAAGACCAGAACCUCAUGAGGCAUUCCAGGUCUGGACCUACGGUGAGGCGGCACGCGGGAAAGGGCCCAGGAGUGAAUUUCACUGGUCUGGUCGCCAGUGUUGGUUCUGCCCUGAGCUCACGGCUUCUCUUUAGGUAGAUUAUUUUAUACAUCCUCUAGGACCUAGUGGCUCAGCUAUAAAAUAAAAUAACGCCCGUGACCUAGGUAUUCUCUGAGACAGUGCAUCUGACAGCUUGCUGUGAUGACAGAGAUUCUCCAUGUCUGCGCUUCCAGUGUGACACCAAUCGCCCCAAGUGCAGCCACUGAGACUGAAAUGUGUGUGAUUGUGUUGGAAGCUCAGCCCUGAGACCCCUUCCGGCUUGGUGAUAUCACUUCCUUUGUUGCUCUGUGCAUUCAGUCUAAUUUUCAAGUUCUGUACAUAUGAAAAUAGAAAACUCAAAGAUAGGCUAUCUUUUAUCAGGUUUUUGUUUGUUCAGCAAAAUGUCAACAUGUUUAUAAUAUUAACUAAUCAUAGAGAAAACUUUUUAUAUAAUUAGUUUGAGGAGCUGAGGGACAAACAAAAGGCUGUUCCAGCUGCAGGGCAUAGGGAGGUGAGUCAAGGGUCCUGGGAGGAGGGACAGUGCCUUGAACAGACCAGACUUGCCCAUGACCCCAGCUCCUGACAGGUGCCAUGCAAACAGCCCCACCUGUGCCUCCGCUUCUGCCUGGGGAAGGGGAGGGGGUCCAAGCACUGAGGAGCUGCUGCAUCUGCCCACCUAUUGGGAGAUGCCAGUUUGGGCACAGACUCACUGCUGUCUAUGGACCUGUGGCCCCCCCAGCCCAGAAACGCUGUCGUGGGAGCGGUCCUCGCUAGGGGCCAUUUGGCAAUGUCUGGAGAUGCUUUUGGUUGUCACCAGUUGGGGUAGGGAGUGCCACUGGCUUCUAGCGAGUAGAGGCCAGGGGUGCUGCAAACAUCAUACAAUGCACAGGACGGCCCCACAGCAAAGAAUGAUCCAGAUGCCCUGAGUCUCAGUAGUGCUGAGACUGAGGAGCCCUGACUCGUAGCUGUGUGGACUCUAGAAAUGCAAAGCUCCGUCACGGCAACUCCUGGAUUCCUGAAGCAGAGUGACUUUUGAAUAAAUGACGUGGCAUAUCUUCAGGACAAUUUCAUCAUUUGGUUCUCCUUAUUCUGUAGACAAAAGCCAGCAGUUGUUACAGUUUCCUACUAUUUACAUCACGUUCAAUUUUAUAUGAGUUAGGUAGAGCCCAGAUGACAUUAAACAAUGAAGUGAAAAAAGAUCAGUUGCAAAAUUUUUUUAUUAUUUUGAUCGAUCGCAAUCAUUUUCUAUGAAAGAGAUUUUCUCUCUUUGUUCAUUGAUAAUUGUGACUUUUUCUCCCUACUGGUAUAUAUUGAUACAUGCAUAAAUUUGUAUAUACUUUCAAAUGGGCUAUAAUUUGUUAUUCCAACUUGCCUGUUAUUUAUAAAUGUGGUUAGAUAAUAUUCACCAGACAAUAAUCAGUAUUUAAUACUUUUAUUCAGGAAUUUCAUGUGUGUUAUAAACCAUGAGCAAGAUGAGAUUCCUGCUUCACGGUGAGGGAAAGCAAACGCCAGAAUGCGGCAUAAGUGGUUUCCUGAAAGCUGCAAGAAGAACCGAGUUCCAGAUAUUCAGUAUUUCUAUCCCUUGGGUCUCUGUAUACAAAACACCUUAGAAAAUAAUUACUUUUUUGUUUAAACAGCUAAACUUUUCAUUUGCUCUGUCUUAAAACUGUGUUUUAUUGAGGUAUAAUUUACAUAUAUUAAAAUACACAGUUU